UCUUGGGUUGUAAACCUCUUUUCUCAGGGAAGAAAAAAAUGACGGUACCUGAGGAAUAAGCAUCGGCUAACUCCGUGCCAGCAGCCGCGGUAAUACGGAGGAUGCAAGCGUUAUCCGGAAUGAUUGGGCGUAAAGCGUCCGCAGGUGGCGAUGAAAGUCUGCUGUUAAAGAGUGAGGCUCAACCUCAUAAAAGCAGUGGAAACUACAUAGCU
rnacentral:rRNA from 1 species